GAGAAACACACAGAGACCCAGGGAAGAGGCCAUGUGAAUGAAGAUGGAGGCAGAGACUGAAUUUAGGUUCCCACAAACCAAGGAAUGCCAGAAACCACCAAAAGCUGGAAGAGGAAAAGGAGGAUUCUUCCUUACAGACUUCAGAGAGAGCAUGGCCCUGAAAACACAUUGAUUUCAGACUUUCAGCCUCCAGAAUCAUGAGAGAAAAAAUGUCUGUUGUUUUAAGUCACAGCAGCUGUAAGAAACCAGUACAAGUAUCACUGUGUUUUAAGCCUGUGGGCCUGACUCAUGAGUGUCUAUCAGAAAUGCCCUCUCCUCUAUAUUCACUUAGAUGUUUCAUAUUUCUCCUUUGCAUGUCAUUCAUGGCUUUCAGGAAGACUUUUUUGGCAGCCCAGGGCAGGUCUGGCUUUAUGCUACCAGCAGCCCAGGGCAGGUCUAGCUUUAUGCUGUCAGAUGGAGUGGGCUAUAAGUAGAAUGUGACCAGGCUGAUGGUGAUGCUGCUGCUUCUAGCCUGGCAUCAUACUGGUUUUCCUCUGCAGUUGAGAAGAGUCAUGUGCAAGCUCGUGGCAGCAGCAAGUCCUCCUAAUAUGUCCCUGGUAUCAAACUAACUCAUUAGACUGUGGUAGCUGUGGUUGACUCCUGGUUUCUCCCAACUCCACCCUUUUGGCAGGCAGCAACCCUGGCCAGCAGCUGCUCAUGGUCUAGGAAGGACAGCUGUCUUAACACCCAUUCAUCUGUAGAGAGCAGCCUUUUGGAUCAGCGGAUGGCUCCACCAGAUGCUCAGCUUGUUUUCAGUUCUGGAGUCUGAAAUCCCCAGUGCCAUCUACCUGGCAUCAGUCUCAGGGUGAAACAUCUCACAGUGGAAGAGGAGCAUUCUGUGUUGAGAAUUUCCAUUGACGAAGCCAACUGAGUGGCCUGAUUCCCUUGGACCAGCAAUCUAGAGCUAGGGAAGAUGUUGCCCCAAGGAAGAGGCACAGCAGACACUUGGCUCUCCUCUUGGGUUUCUGCUUUCUCUGAGAAAACAGAAGUUUGAGGCCUCUAGAAGCACUGCAUUCCCUCCAAAGGGAGGUUGUAGAUACAUUAAUUAAUAUGAUUUUAAUUCAAAACUUCCUGAGGCAGAUAAUUCUAAAUGAUUAUCCCAAAAAUAUUUCCAACACCCUUCUUUUUACCACCCACUGGCCCCCAAAUCCUCAAUUUUCCAGUCUCCCUUGAGCUAAGUGUGGCCCUAUGACUCACUUCCAGCCAUGAAAACAAGUGCAAAUCUGUUAGGAGUAUGUUCUGGGGCAAUUUUUGCUCUCCUGAUGAAGACAAAGGCUGUUGAUCCACUGAACCCACCCAGACACUAUGUGGUUUCUUGAAUGUCCUACGUACAUUUUGAUGGAUUACCCAAGGACUAUCUGAUGAAGAAUAAUAGAGACAUAUAAAUACAUAUGGGCUACAUCUUGGCAAAAUAAAGUAAUCCUGAAGUAAAUUCUAAGGAUGUUCUGAAUUGACACCUCUUAAGCACAACCGAAUGUCCUGGUGGCUUUGCCUCCCACUGGGGCUUUUUGGCUCUUGUUUGGCCCCAGCGGCUGCUGCAGCUCUGUCUGAAUUCACACAGGAGCAACAUGAUGGUGCUCAGCCCUCGCCGAAGUGUCUUGCUGAAGAGUUGGGAGAUGCUUGGACUAUUCAGAUAGAAGCCAGCUGGAAGUACAGGGCAGUCAACACAAACCAGAGAGGCAAACUUUUGGCCAGUGAGACAUGGAAAGGGAGAAGAAAUACAUUCUUCUUUCUCCCCUAGAGUGAGGACCAACCUGAGUCCCAGUCACCUGGAAUCCCCUCAGACGAGCGUCCCUUGAGAUCCAGCACAUGGCAGCCAGCGUGCUGACGAUUCCUUCCUGCCUACUGGCUCCUUCUUAUUUCUGCCUCCGUGGAACUGUAUUCUCUAAUCAAUAUUAGCACAUACAUAUUGCCCCAGACUGUACCUCCUGGGAACCCAGGAUAAAGCACUAUCUAAACAUUUUGUCUUGGAAUUGUAAUAAACUUCAAAAGAAAAAUACAACUUGAAAGUUAAA
rnacentral:lncRNA from 1 species